UACGAAGGGGGCUAGCGUUGCUCGGAAUCACUGGGCGUAAAGGGUGCGUAGGCGGGUCUUUUAAGUCAGGGGUGAAAUCCUGGAGCUCAACUCCAGAACUGCCUUUGAUACUGAGGAUCUUGAGUUCGGGAGAGGUGAGUGGAACUGCGAGUGUAGAUGUGAAAUUCGUAGAUAUUCGCAAGAACACCAGUGGCGAAGGCGGCUCACUGGCCCGAUACUGACGCUGAUGGACGAAAGCGUGGGGAGCGAACAGG
rnacentral:rRNA from 1 species